rnacentral:rRNA from 1 species
ACGCACGCUGGCGGCGUGCUUAACACCUGCCAGUCGAACGGAAAGGCCCUGCUUUUGUGGGGUGCUCGAGUGGCGAACGGGUGAGUAACACGUGAGUAACCUGCCCUUGACUUUGGGAUAACUUCAGGAAACUGGGGCUAAUACCGGAUAGGAGCUCCUGCUGCAUGGUGGGGGUUGGAAAGUUUCGGCGGUUGGGGAUGGACUCGCGGCUUAUCAGCUUGUUGGUGGGGUAGUGGCUUACCAAGGCUUUGACGGGUAGCCGGCCUGAGAGGGUGACCGGCUACAUUGGGACUGAGAUACGGCCCAGACUCCUACGGGAGGCAGCAGUGGGGAAUAUUGCACAAUGGGCGGAAGCCUGAUGCAGCAACGCCGCGUGCGGGAUGACGGCCUUCGGGUUGUAAACCGCUUUCGCCUGUGACGAAGCGUGAGUGACGGUAAUGGGUAAAGAAGCACCGGCUAACUACGUG